rnacentral:rRNA from 1 species
GACGAACGCUGGCGGCGUGCUUAACACAUGCAAGUCGAACGGAAAGGCCCUGCUUUUGUGGGGUGCUCGAGUGGCGAACGGGUGAGUAACACGUGAGUAACCUGCCCUUGACUUUGGGAUAACUUCAGGAAACUGGGGCUAAUACCGGAUAGGAGCUCCUGCUGCAUGGUGGGGGUUGGAAAGUUUCGGCGUUUGGGGAUGGACUCGCGGCUUAUCAGCUUGUUGGUGGGGUAGUGGCUUACCAAGGCUUUGACGGGUAGCCGGCCUGAGAGGGUGACCGGCCACAGUGGGACUGAGAUACGGCCCAGACUGAUACGGGAGGCAGCAGUGGGGAAUAUUGCACAAUGGGCGGAAGGCUGAUGCAGCAACGCCGCGUGCGGGAUGACGGCCUUCGGGUUGUAAACCGCUUUCGCCUGUGACGAAGCGUGAGUGACGGAAAUGGGUAAAGAAGCACCGGCUAACUACGU